CUAACCUCUCCGGUGCGGUUGACACUAACUCCUACGUCCAAUGACUGGUAUAUGAUCCAGUCUAGCCAGUCAGCACAUUCCAUUCCUGGGACCGUGUUGUUCAGAUGUGUGAUCUAAAGCCCUCAUACAGCUCCAGCCCAGUUUGCACCUUCCAUUGUUCCAGCACCUCUGGAUUGAGUGGCUCUCCUCCUGUCAGGCAAUGCCGCAGCUUCUUGAAUUUAUAUCUGGAGGCAAUGCCCCUCCUAGACGUCCA